UACAGAGGGUGCAAGCGUUAAUCGGAAUUACUGGGCGUAAAGCGUGCGUAGACGGUUAUGUAAGUCAGGUGUGAAAGCCCCGGGCUCAACCUGGGAAUGGCAUUUGAGACUGCAUAGCUAGGGUGCGGAAGAGGGAAGCGGAGUUUCCGGUGUAGCGGUGAAAUGCGUAGAUAUCGGAAGGAACAUCAGUGGCGAAAGCGGCUUCCUGGUCCAGCACCGACGUUCAGGCACGAAAGCGUGGGGAGCAAACAGG
rnacentral:rRNA from 1 species